UCUCUCUCUCUCUCUCUCUCUCGCUGUAACUCCACCUUUCAAAUAAAUCAAUAAAUAAAUCUUAAAGAGACAGUGAUUAUUUAGGAUAUGAGAUGUGAAGUGGCAUGGUAACUAUGUUGUAUGUGUGUGCAUAUGCACAAGGAUUCUUUACAAAACUCAUGGAAUGUGCAAUGGAAAGGUUUAUUAUGUGCAAAAACUUUAGAAAUCCACAUAUUUUAGAAUAUUAGGUAUUUUCCAUGAACUUCUAGGAGACCCUUCAUAUAUGUAUGUGUCUAUACCCUUUCCCUUAUAGAAAGAAUGUUUCAUGGAAAGACACCAACAUACCUACUAAAUUACAGACCACACUAUGUGAAAUAUAUGAUGAGGACUACAUAAUAGAAGAAAAAAAAGAAGUAUUUCUUACUCUAGGGGACUGGGAUAGGAUUACAUUUUCAGUAUUUAACUUAUUUACAUGGAACUUAGCCCUCUCAAGAAGUGACUUUCUACAGAAGGUCAUCAAAAAGCAUGGAAUCAAACAUGACAUAAACACUGAAGAAGCCCAAGUUUGUAAUACGCAUAAUAUGAAUAUAGUAGAUGGAGAAAGAGCAGAAUCCUAAUCAUAUUGCAACUAACCAUUCUCAAAACUGAAGGAUAUGAUUUUGUUAAAGUGAAGAUAGCUUUUCUGCACCAUCAAAGGUCAAACCUAAACAUGCAGAUAAUGGAACAUUAGUAACGUUUCCUGGGAGUGAUUAAUAAGAUAAUUGGUUGCUUUCAAGACUAGUUUUUGGAAUGAAAUUAAAGAUAAAUGAGACUUUAAUGUUUUGACAUUUCAUCCUAUUGAACAAUGGGUGGAAUCACAUGAGUUUAGAUGAUGCUUCCUACUAAUAAAAUCAUCUCCAUGGAUCGUACUCAGGAUUAUACUUCAUGGAUUACGUAGCCUGUAACUGAAGCAAAUAUCACCACAGGAUUAAACUUGCUUAUUCAACUGGAGCAAUUUCCACAUUUUAUCCAUGAUCUUUUUGAAAACCACACGGAGAAAACUAGUGCAGAAGCAACACGAUGUAAAAAUUCAUGGCAUUAUUUUAAACAUAAAAGAUUAUAAAUAAAGAACAAACUGCAUUAAAGAAUAAAAA